AUAAAAAGGCGAUCGGUGGACGGUUUGAGCAUCCCUAACUUCUUUUGACGACAAUCGAGAAGUCAGGCCUAAACAGCCUUGCCGACAAUGCAUGCGCUAACCAUUUUUGUCGUCCUUCUUCUUCUGCAAGGAUUUUGUGCCUAUGAAGCUGCUGUGUCCAAGUGUAACGCGAGGUGUUCAAAUGUUGGACAGUGUGACGAGGAAUGCCCAAUCUGCAGACCAGCUGGUUGGAUUGGCCAAAGAUGUCGUCCCAGAGCUUCAAGUGGUCGGAAGUGAACGAGAGUUGCUUCAUCUGCAUAGCCAUUUACGUGGCGUACUGCAUUUGUAACCUGACCCCUCCAGCAUAUAAGUGACUUAAUA